GACGAACGCUGGCGGCGUGCUUAACACAUGCAAGUGGAGCGACGAACCAGGCUUCGGCCUGGGGCAGAGCCGCGAACGGGUGAGUAACACGUGGGUAACGUGCCCCGAUGACUGGGGACAACCCGAGGAAACUCGGGCUAAUACCGGAUAUGCCCCCUCACGAGAGUGAGGUAGUGGUAAAGGAAGCUUCGGCCUCCGCAUCGGGAGUCGGCCCGCGGCGCAUUAGCUUGUUGGUGGGGAACGGCCUACCAAGGCGACGAUGCGUAGC
rnacentral:rRNA from 1 species